CAAUAAAACCCUAUGACCGGCCAUAUUGAUAAAGGAGUGGGUUUGGACUUAUUACAAGUUUGCCACUCCAAUGAAGGUAGGUAUAAAUAUGACUUUAUAGCCUUUUCUUCAUUAGGUUUUCUUUUGGAGAAAAGAUGAGAACACAAUGUCUCUCCCUUUCUCUCUAGGAGGCCGGCCCCCUUGGAGGAGAUUAGCUAGCAAUCUUCCCUCCUCCAAGGUCACUCAUCUCUUUUUCGAGUCUCUCCUUUGUGUGGAAAAAUUAGAGGUUCUCAACUUUGGGAACUUGGAGAAUCCUUUCAACCAUCCUCAUCCUAGAAAUCCAUGGAGCUAAGAAGCAAGGAAUGAAGGCAUUCUCUUUGGGUGAUUAGCCUUUGCUUAUGCAAAGAGGAAUCAACAAAGGUAUAAAAUUUCUCAACUCACUUUGUUUUGAGUUGAGUCUUGGUUCACCCUUCUACUAGGCUUUGAAUUUCAUGGGCAAUGUUUUGUUUUUGAGUGCAUACAAGCAUGAUUCCGCCUUUAAAUGUUAAUUGCAUGCCAUAGAUGUUGCUUAAAUGAACAUGUUUUCACAAAAUUUCCUUCAAGUGGUAUCAAGAGCCUAGGUCUAGUAGUUGGCGAAUCCUUUUGGGUUUUGUAUUUUCAUAGUUUAUGAUUUGAAUGUUGUAAUUGUUACAAGCUUUAUUCUUACUUCUUUGAAUGUAAAUUUUGUUAGAAAAUUUGCUAUCUCAAAUGUUGUAGAUGUAGUUCAUAUGAGCAUGAAUUUUGGAGCUAAAAUUUGGUGCCAUGUUUUUUGGGGAAAUUCGGCCAAAUCCAAAGGGUGGAUUUUUGGGUUCAUGUUUGUCUUGUUAAAAGUGUUUUAAAGUGACAUUAAGAACCCCUAAGUACCCUAGUAUGGUAAUAUGUUUUUUCCCUUAAGUUUGAGAGUUUUUGGGGUGUCUUUGGGUGAAAAAUGUUCAUGGAGCUCUUAUGGGUUUUCAUGGAUGUUCUUCAUUGUUCUCGUUAUGUUUUUGGCAAGAACAAAAAGGUUGGGUAUUUUGAUUCAAAGUUUUUGGUUGUUUUGCAUAAAGUUUUGUUUAUGGUGGUUGGUGUGACUUUAUUGUAAUAAAUUGUAUGACAUGAUUUGUUCUUUUUCAAUCAACACCCAUACCAAUCACUUACACCUUUUCCUUAUUUUAAGGGACCAUGUUUUAUGGAAAUCACUUUUUCAAACCUACCCAUCACCUUUCACUUUUGUUGAAAAAUUCAAAAGUUUAUGACACCAUCUCUCAUCCAAAACCGGCCACCCUAUUAAAUAGGGUACUUUGGGGCUUUUAUGCAAUUACAUAAAGUUUUGAUACUUUUGUGUAUUUGUACUUUGAUCCGAAAGUUUACAUUUUUACGUAAAGGCCCAAAAUCACUAAAGGACAAAAUGUUUUGCUCCUUUAAUGAAGUUUUUGUUUUUUGAUGAAAUUUUUGGGUUCCAGUUGUAAUUACAUGAAGUAGUGGACUUUUGUGUUUUUACAAAGUGACAUCAAAAGUUUGUGUUUUGCUAUAUAGCCCAAUGGUUGAGGUUAUUGUUUUUUGGCCCAAAUUAGUUGAGAACAAAAUAGUUUUGUAUCUUUAAAUGAGAAUUGGAUUUUCAUUUCAUUUAGCUCCAUUAAAAUCAAUUCUAUGGAUACAAAAACCAAAUGAAAAUGUUGCAUUCAAGUUUAAUUAGUUAAAGCGUUAAUUAAUUAAAGAAAAGGGUGAUUAUGAACCUAAGCCUACGAUAAUUGAGCUAUGUGAAAGGCCGUCUCAAAUUUGUUUGAACCAUGGGAAUGUGUAGAUUAGAUUUUGGUUGUAAUUUGAUAUGAUCAAAUAUUGUAAAAGAGCAUAAGCUCUUCUUUACUUCGAAGUAAUUUGUUUUGAUCAAAUGUUGUAAAAGAGCAUAAGCUCUUCUUUACUUUGAAGUACUUCUUUCUUGCUUUAUUUGAUAUGUAUGAAAAUGAAGUACAGGGUCCAACGCCCAAUAAGAAAACACGCCUUAAUGUGAUUAAACACGUAACUAAAAUCAAUCACCAUCCCUAGAUCGAGAUUCAACACUAGGCUCGUGUUGGAUCCAAUCAAAGGUUCAUAGUCAUCCUAAGACCCUAAGGCAACUAUAUAGUCCAUCAAUGAAUGCAAACCUUAUGUUAGUAGUACCAUAUACUCUUGCUUUAAAAACCGUUUUACAAGCAUAGUGGGAGUAUCAUAUACAACUAAAUCAAUCACAUGGACCAAUAGUUGUAAUAGGACCAAAUUUUUUUAAGAUUAAAAUGCAUGCUUAUAUGUGAUGAGACCUA
rnacentral:lncRNA from 1 species